GGUCCCUAUCCGGCGUGGGCGCAGGAUAUUUGAGAGGAGCUAUCCCUAGUACGAGAGGACCGGGAUGGACUGACCUCUGGUGCAUCUGCUGUCUUGCCAAAGGCAUGGCAGAGUAGCCAAGUCGGGACGGGAUAAACGCUGAAGGCAUCUAAGCGUGAAGCCCCCCUCAAGAUGAGAUAUCCCAUGGCACAAGCCAGUAAGACCCCUUGAAGACGACGAGGUUGAUAGGUCAGGGGUGUAAGUACAGCAAUGUAUUCAGCUGACUGAUACUAAUAGGUCGAGGGCUUGACCA
rnacentral:rRNA from 1 species